AGCAGCCGCGGUAAUUCCAGCUCCAAUAGCGUAUAUUAAAGUUGUUGCAGUUAAAAAGCUCGUAGUUGAAUUUCGGGAUCAGUACGCCGGUCGUGCCUUCGGUAUGCACUGGUGUCACUGGUUUCUCCCUUCUGAAGAACCAUCAUGCCAUUCAGUUGGUGUGGCGGGGAAUCAGGACUGUUACUUUGAAAAAAUUAGAGUGUUUAAAGCAGGCUCGCGCUUGAAUACAUUAGCAUGGAAUAAUGAAAUAGGACGUUUGACCCUAUUUUGUUGGUUUCUAGGAUCGACGUAAUGAUUAAUAGGGAUAGUUGGGGGCAUUAGUAUUCAAUUGUCAGAGGUGAAAUUCUUGGAUUUAUUGAAGACUAACUACUGCGAAAGCAUUUGCCAAGGAUGUUUUCAUUAAUCAAGAACGAAAGUUAGGGGAUCGAAGACGAUCAGAUACCGUCGUAGUCUUAACCAUAAACUAUGCCGACUAGGGAUCGGAUGAUGUUAAUUUUUUAAUGACUCA
rnacentral:rRNA from 2 species